CACGUAGGCACCAAGCGUUGUCCGGAUUUAUUGGGCGUAAAGAGCUCGUAGGCGGUUCGGUAAGUCGGGUGUGAAAACUCUGGGCUCAACCCAGAGCCGCCACCCGAUACUGCUGUGACUUGAGUUCGGUAGGGGAGCGGGGAAUUCCUGGUGUAGCGGUGAAAUGCGCAGAUAUCAGGAGGAACACCAGUGGCGAAAGGCGCCGCUCGUGGGCCGAGACUGACGCUGGAGGAGCGAAAGCGUGGGUAGCAAACAGG
rnacentral:rRNA from 1 species